AAAAUGGAUAAUAGUUAAUUUUAUACUUUUGUUUUGAAAGAUAUUUUACUUGCUGAGACAGAGUUAAAAGGUUGGUUAGUUGUUGUGUCACGCCCCGGGACCGGCGGAGGCCCUCCCGGUAGCGUGCCCAGACCCGCCAUAUGUCUACACAUAUAAGGCGUCUACAAGAAAGCAGAAGUAAAAGCAAGAAAUAGAAUAAAUGGAAGAAGUAAAAUAACUAGCAACUAGUGAUAUCAGAGAGAGUAAAGUUCUAUCAUCUACACCAGAGUAAAGAAAUAAAGCUAGACAAUAAAAGAAACCAUAAGUAGUACACUAUCAGUCUCAAAAGUACAAAAAUGGUGGUCUCUAGUACACUGGUACAGCUAUCAACCUCUCCAAAAAGAAAUACAUCGAGAGGUAGACCACCUAAACUCGUCUCUCGCUGAAGGGCUAACUCGAAGCGACGCCUUUACCACGGUCCCUAGCCUCUCCCGGUGUGGAAAGCUCUGAAAGAAAACAUAAAACAGAGGGCGUGAGAACUAUAAUUUAUAGUUCCCAGUGGGCAAUUACUGACCUCAGCUCAAUG
rnacentral:lncRNA from 1 species